GACCAUCCUCCAAGGCUAAAUACUCCUGACUGACCGAUAGUGAACCAGUACCGUGAGGGAAAGGCGAAAAGAACCCCGGCGAGGGGAGUGAAAAAGAACCUGAAACCGUGUACGUACAAGCAGUGGGAGCCUCUUUAUGGGGUGACUGCGUACCUUUUGUAUAAUGGGUCAGCGACUUAUAUUCUGUAGCAAGGUUAACCGUAUAGGGGAGCCGAAGGGAAACCGAGUCUUAACUGGGCGUUAAGUUGCAGGGUAUAGACCCGAAACCCGGUGAUCUAGCCAUGGGCAGGUUGAAGGUUGGGUAACACUAACUGGAGGACCGAACCGACUAAUGUUGAAAAAUUAGCGGAUGACCUGUGGCUGGGGGUGAAAGGCCAAUCAAACCGGGAGAUAGCUGGUUCUCCCCGAAAGCUAUUUAGGUAGCGCCUCGUGAACUCAUCUUCGGGGGUAGAGCACUGUUUCGGCUAGGGGGCCAUCCCGGCUUACCAACCCGAUGCAAACUACGAAUACCGAAGAAUGUUAUCACGGGAGACACACGGCGGGUGCUAACGUCCGUCGUGAAGAGGGAAACAACCCAGACCGCCAGCUAAGGUCCCAAAGUCAUGGUUAAGUGGGAAACGAUGUGGGAAGGCACAGACAGCCAGGAUGUUGGCUUAGAAGCAGCCAUCAUUUAAAGAAAGCGUAAUAGCUCACUGGUCGAGUCGGCCUGCGCGGAAGAUGUAACGGGGCUAAACCAUGCACCGAAGCUGCGGCAGCGACACUAUGUGUUGUUGGGUAGGGGAGCGUUCUGUAAGCCGUUGAAGGUGUGCUGUGAGGCAUGCUGGAGGUAUCAGAAGUGCGAAUGCUGACAUAAGUAACGAUAAAGCGGGUGAAAAGCCCGCUCGCCGGAAGACCAAGGGUUCCUGUCCAACGUUAAUCGGGGCAGGGUGAGUCGACCCCUAAGGCGAGGCCGAAAGGCGUAGUCGAUGGGAAACAGGUUAAUAUUCCUGUACUUGGUGUUACUGCGAAGGGGGGACGGAGAAGGCUAUGUCAGCCGGGCGACGGUUGUCCCGGUUUAAGCAUGUAGGCGGAGGUUCCAGGUAAAUCCGGUACCUUUUAACGCUGAGGUGUGAUGACGAGGCACUACGGUGCUGAAGUGAUAAAUGCCCUGCUUCCAGGAAAAGCCUCUAAGCAUCAGGUAACAUCAAAUCGUACCCCAAACCGACACAGGUGGUCAGGUAGAGAAUACCAAGGCGCUUGAGAGAACUCGGGUGAAGGAACUAGGCAAAAUGGUGCCGUAACUUCGGGAGAAGGCACGCUGAUGUGUAGGUGAAGCCCCUGCGGGCGGAGCUGAAAUCAGUCGAAGAUACCAGCUGGCUGCAACUGUUUAUUAAAAACACAGCACUGUGCAAACACGAAAGUGGACGUAUACGGUGUGACGCCUGCCCGGUGCCGGAAGGUUAAUUGAUGGGGUUAGCGGCAACGCGAAGCUCUUGAUCGAAGCCCCGGUAAACGGCGGCCGUAACUAUAACGGUCCUAAGGUAGCGAAAUUCCUUGUCGGGUAAGUUCCGACCUGCACGAAUGGCGUAAUGAUGGCCAGGCUGUCUCCACCCGAGACUCAGUGAAAUUGAACUCGCUGUGAAGAUGCAGUGUACCCGCGGCAAGACGGAAAGACCCCGUGAACCUUUACUAUAGCUUGACACUGAACACUGGUCCUUGAUGUGUAGGAUAGGUGGGAGGCUUUGAAGCGUGGACGCCAGUCUGCGUGGAGCCGACCUUGAAAUACCACCCUUUAAUGGCUGGUGUUCUAACGUAGACCCGUAAUCCGGGUUGCGGACAGUGUCUGGUGGGUAGUUUGACUGGGGCGGUCUCCUCCCAAAGAGUAACGGAGGAGCACGAAGGUUGGCUAAUCCUGGUCGGACAUCAGGAGGUUAGUGCAAUGGCAUAAGCCAGCUUGACUGCGAGCGUGACGGCGCGAGCAGGUGCGAAAGCAGGUCAUAGUGAUCCGGUGGUUCUGAAUGGAAGGGCCAUCGCUCAACGGAUAAAAGGUACUCCGGGGAUAACAGGCUGAUACCGCCCAAGAGUUCAUAUCGACGGCGGUGUUUGGCACCUCGAUGUCGGCUCAUCACAUCCUGGGGCUGAAGUAGGUCCCAAGGGUAUGGCUGUUCGCCAUUUAAAGUGGUACGCGAGCUGGGUUUAGAACGUCGUGAGACAGUUCGGUCCCUAUCUGCCGUGGGCGCUGGAGAAUUGAGGGGGGCUGCUCCUAGUACGAGAGGACCGGAGUGGACGCAUCACUGGUGUUCGGGUUGUCAUGCCAAUGGCACUGCCCGGUAGCUAAAUGCGGAAGAGAUAAGUGCUGAAAGCAUCUAAGCACGAAACUUGCCCCGAGAUGAGUUCUCCCUGAGACUU
rnacentral:rRNA from 1 species